GACAGAGGUGCCAAGCGUUAGGCGGAAUCACUGGGCUUAAAGCGUGUGUAGGCGGAUCGUUAAGUACCUUGUGAAAUCCCACGGCUCAACCGUGGAACUGCUCGGUAUACUGGCGGUCUUGAGCCACCUAGGGGCAACUGGAACAAGCGGUGGAGCGGUGAAAUUCGUAGAUAUCGAGAAGAACACCGGUGGCGAAGGCGGCCAUCUGGACAGAUACUGACGCUGAGACGCGAAAGCGUGGGGAGCAAACAGG
rnacentral:rRNA from 1 species